CUCUUUGAGCAGAUCCAGAGGAGGGCCACAAAAAUGAUCAGAGGGCUGGAGCACCUGUCUUGUGAAAAAAAGGUUGAGAGAAGUUGGCUUGUUUGGCU